rnacentral:lncRNA from 1 species
AUUGAUUUCAUGCAUAGCAUAUGCUCCGUCGUCUUCUCCCUUUUCACUCCAAAAUUUCUUGUUUUGUUUGUGCUCUUAGUCACCGUCGUUGGUUUUAAAUCUACUGUUUCUUCAUCGUUUGCAAAAAAACUCUAGCUAUGUAUCUUGGUCGUUUCUUCUUCCCAGAUCCACUUACGUCUUUACCUAUUUUCUUAGAUCCGGUUUGGACAUUCACAAAUCUGCAUAGAUCUAUACUUUUGUGUUUGCAUGUUCGUAAGUUUUCUUGCGGGUCCAUUAACUAUUCAUCCCCCUCUUAAUCCACAUCCAGCAAGACCAACCUUGUUCUGUCUCUACAUGUUCAUGUUUUUAGCAAUCCAAGUUAAUACAUGGAUAUUCACAAUUGGAUAAGACUCAUUAUUUGCAAACGUAGAGCUCUAGCUAUCUAAUAAGUAGAGAUACAAGUAGAGAUACAUUAUUUGCAAACUCUAGCUAUCUAAUAAGUAGAGAUACAAGUAGAUCCGGAGAGGUCUAACAGAAAAGUUAGAGUGUAAGAUUGGAAAACACCAGUCAAAAUUAGAGUGAAACAAUUGAAACGACGGGUGAUAAGAUCGGAAAAACAAAAAAAAAAUCGAGAAACAAAACUUCGUGUAAAUUCUACCCUCUGGCUUACCGAAUUAGAGAGGAAGACGCUUUGAGACGGCGACUUAAUAGUGACAACGGCAUAAUUUAUGUACUUCACCGGAGCAAAAACAAGUUCUCGAAGACGAAGAUGAGAGGACGACGAGACUAAGAGAAAGGUUUUGAGAGAGAAAAAAUAUGAGACAAAGAUGAAGAUGGUUUACGGCGACGGUGGCGUGAAGACUUAAGGCGACAGAAGAAUAUUACAGAGGAGAGAUAAAAUGGAACAAUGAAGAAAGUUAAAUGGGUAUCCAAAAGUCUGAUAUUAACAAAAA